UACGGAGGGUGCGAGCGUUGUCCGGAAUCAUUGGGCGUAAAGGGCGCGUAGGUGGCGGGAUAAGCGUGCGGUGAAAGCUCGGGGCUCAACCCCGAGUCGGCCGUGCGAACUAUCUUGCUUGAGCACUGUAGAGGCAGGCGGAAUUCCGGGUGUAGCGGUGGAAUGCGUAGAGAUCCGGAAGAACACCGGUGGCGAAGGCGGCCUGCUGGGCAGUAGCUGACACUGAGGCGCGACAGCGUGGGGAGCAAACAGG
rnacentral:rRNA from 1 species